ensembl:lncRNA
ACUACCCUUAGGAAAAGAUUUCAUGUCAUGUAGCUUUGGAUAUAAGUGUCUAAACUGCCUAUUUGCAUUUCAUGGUGGACAAAAAUGAAUAAAUCAGAUCUGUUUUCUUACCAUGGAAUGAGUAGGAAGCCCAGAUACUGUCACACAAAUAUAUAACCUCGCAACCAAGUUCAUCUGUGUUCUUGUUAGAAUGAAUAGAAGUUUGAAGUGGCAUUCCUUCUUCAUCUUCUUAAUUGUGAAAACCCUUGUGGCUUGUUAACAUGGUUUGUGUUAACUACUUAACACUUCUGAAGCCACAGCUCUUUCAGUAAAUUCAGCAUUCCUUAGGCCAUGGCCGCAGAACGAGAAUCAUUUGAGCUGGAAGGGAUCUUUUAAAGUCAUCCUGUCCAACUCCCCUGCGAUGAACAGGGACAGCUACAGCAAGUUUCUCAGAGCCCCAUCCAGCCUGACCCCGGAUGUCUCCAGAGACAGGGCAUCCACAAAACAGUUCAGAUGCAAACAAUUAAACCCAAACUCUACUAAUCUCUGCAAGAGGGGACCUUGUCCAAGCUGCUUAUUGGGAUCCAAGAGUGGUCUCAUAAACUCUUAGAGCUAGAUCAUCCCCAGGAACAGUUUGGGAAAGCAUGGGCCAAAAUCACAAUUAGAAAGCUUUCCAGUGCUAUUUACCAAUAUAGAUGCAGCAUGAACACAUUUUGCUUGUAUAUGAAAUUAACUUAAUGGAUUUUUUUCAGAUUAGUGAGAUCACCGUAAGAACAUAAAACAGUUAACAUUACACAAAGCUACUGUAAGUAGUUUAGAGAAAGUACUCUAUAAAUGUGUUAAAGAACUUUGUGAAAUAUUUAUACUUUAUUUCCUGGUUGGACCACUUGACAAUAAAUAGUUUGAUAUGAAAUGUCACUGUGACAUAAAAAAUUAAAUAUUUUUUUCAGAAAAUGUAAGAAGAAUGUAUGCUAGCUCAAAACAGCAUUUUUGGUUUUCAUCUGAGACAAUUUUAUCAAUUUAAUCAAAGAAGAACUUACCUGGAUUUGCAUUUUUCUUCAACUAGGUCUACUCGUAGAUACUAGGCAUGGCAGUAAGCAUCUGGCUGAUAAUCAAUAUGAGUAGGACAGGAGGCCAGGAUCAGAUUCCAUUAGGAAAGAAGACAACCACCAUCUAGCAGAAAAAUGUGUUUGGAUAACUAUAGCCCUCUCAUCAUCUCUGAAUUAUACAAUUCUAUGUUUUUGUCUUGAUGGUAGGAAUACAAGCAGGGGUUUCUCAAAUUAACUUUGUCUUUCUUCAUGUGAUGAAAUGAAUCCCAACCCACUUUAUCUCAUGCACCUAUCUUUGCAUGGGAUGAAAUCUGGAAGUUCUUGUCUUUCUCCAGAGACAGCCUAGUUAGCUAGCUGAUAAGUUAGCUAAACCAAACUUAGGUAAAAUGAAUGGCAUGUUUCUGUUACUUCAUGUCGCUUUGGAAAAUCCCUCUAGGCAGGUACUGAGAUGUGCCAAGUGCCUUUAAAAAUCCAGUUCCCAAUCUCUGCAAAAUCCCAACCACCUGUGUUAUGUUCUCAGUUUGCAAGUACUUUUCUGUGCUUUACAAACUCCCCUGUCUCACGUCAGCAGAAAAUAUCUGCAGCCAGUCCAAGCAAUUCCAACUGCAGAUGCUGCUGAGAAGCUGGCUCACCCAUGCAAGAGGAGGUCGGCAGUCAGCGCAGUACUGACAAAAGCAAAAGCAAAGCAAAAUGUGUACGUGUGCAACCAAGAUUUUCUCAGCAGCCCUGUGAUUAAGACAGCCAUCUGGGACUGGGCAUGCCACAGCAGCUACCAUAGAACGUGCGCUGAAGAAACACAAUGGUUGUCUACCUGAGGAAAGGAGAUUAGAGCACUUGUCCAAAACAGAAGAACAAAAUGAAAACAAGUUUUUCUGAAAGUGGAAAUAAGUAUUCUUCUUCUCUGUUGAGUGCGACAAUUUGUUGACAAACUGUUGACAAGUAUUUGAAAUAGUGACUACAGCAUAAACCAGACGGACCCCUUGUCACCUUGUACCACUGUCCAGGACAUGAGAGGAAAAAAAAGCAGGGAAGAGUAACAACUAGAAGACUAGAAUUUACUGAAAGGCUGAUUCAAACUCAGUAAAAUACUGAAUUU